UACGUAGGGUCCGAGCGUUGUCCGGAAUUAUUGGGCGUAAAGGGCUCGUAGGCGGUUCGUCACGUCGGGAGUGAAAACUCGGGGCUUAACCCCGAGCCUGCUUCCGAUACGGGCAGACUAGAGGUAGGCAGGGGAGAGCGGAACUCCUGGUGUAGCGGUGGAAAUGCGCAGAUAUCAGGAAGAACACCGGUGGCGAAGGCGGCUCUCUGGGCCUUACCUGACGCUGAGGAAGCGAAAGCGUGGGUAGCGAACAGG
rnacentral:rRNA from 1 species